rnacentral:lncRNA from 1 species
GUUAUUCUGGAGUUUAAACCAAUCCUACGAUUUUUCUAUAAAAAUCAAAUGUUUUUAAGGUAUUAUUUUUCUUUCUUACGAUAUAUAAUUUUCAGGGGGUUACCGAACUCCCUUUUUAUAUAUCAGCCGUUGAAAGUGUGUUGCUGAAGGGAAAAGAGGGGAAAAAAUCAUAAGGUCGCCAAAGGAAUUACGCAACGUCAAGGCUAUAUCAGCAGAAUUGUAAGGACAACGACUGCUUCAUUAUAAUUUGUUUGGCUAUUCAAAUGCACAAUUAAGCAUAUUAUCCUGUUUGAAAAAAGAAUUGAUUGCCUAUUUUUAUUUUCAGUUAUUAUACGAGAUCCUAUGUAUUUAUAACGUCAUGAUUUCUGGAAUGAUUAAACACAGUGUCAAGUGACACUUUAAAAGAUUUACAAAUGUUUAUAAAUAUAUUUAACAGAAACAAUAAAAUACCUGUCAUUAAAAUAGAUUCUCCGAAUGACGAUAUACAUUCAAUGUUCACAUUUCCGACCACAAUUUUGCUGCUUCAGAAUAAGGGAGGCGAAAUAUACCACGCAAUGGGAAUUUCAAACUUAUAAGCCGAAAUCAUACUGACAAUGCCGUGGGAAAAAAAACGGAAAACGGCCAAAAG